rnacentral:lncRNA from 1 species
AGUUUGUUGAAAAUAUGUUGAAAAUUAAAUGUUACGUCCCGGAUUACCUCGUUCUCCGGACACGCUAACAGACCCGCCGGAUACAUAGAAAUUUUUUCUAUAUACGAAGCAAAACUGUACAUGUAUAUGAAAUCAUUCAACAUUACAAUCAGUAGUAUAGAGCUGCUAGAAAGGAAUAAAACAUAAAUAAUCACAGUGGUUCAAUACAUACAUAACAUCCGGGUACAUAUAUACUCGCUCAGACGAGGUACAACAUCUGUGUGUAAAGGACAAAAAACUACAACUAUCUAUAGCGGGUACUCCUCCAAAUCAGCAACAACUGGGAAUGGCUCUAAUUCGCAACGCCCUUUCCACGAUCAGAAUCAGCAGCAGCAGCGGCCGAAGGCGACGGCUCUGCAAAAAUAGGGGUAACAAGUGGACGUGAGAACUACUACAAAAAUAAGUAGUCCUCAGUGGG